GCAGUCUGCAACUCGAGUGCAUGAAGCUGGAAUCGCUAGUAAUCGCGAAUCAGAAUGUCGCGGUGAAUACGUUCCCGGGUCUUGUACACACCGCCCGUCACACCAUGGGAGCCGACAACGCCCGAAGUCAGUGACCUAACCGAGAGGGAGGAGCUGCCGAAGGCGGGGUUGGUAACUGGGGUGAAGUCGUAACAAGGUACC
rnacentral:rRNA from 1 species